rnacentral:misc_RNA from 1 species
GAUGAAGAACGUAGCGAAAUGCGAUAAGUAAUGUGAAUUGCAGAAUUCAGUGAAUCAUCGAACCUUUGAACGCACAUUGCGCCCCUUGGUAUUCCGAGGGGCAUGCCUGUUCGAGCGUCAUUAUAACCCCUCAAGCUCAGCUUGGUGUUGGGGCCUGCUGCACUGGCAGCCCUUAAAAUCAGUGGCGGCGCCAUCUGGCUCUAAGCGUAGUAAUUCUUCUCGCUAUGGAGUCCUGGUGGAUGCUUGCCAUCAACCCCCAAUUUUUCUAUGGUUGACCUCGGAUCAGGUAGGGAUACCCGCUGAACUUAAGCAUAUCAAUAAGCGGAGGA